rnacentral:siRNA from 1 species
ACCGUCAGGUCUGUUGAACCCUAG